UACGUAGGGACCAAGCGUUGUCCGGAAUCAUUGGGCGUAAAGAGCGUGUAGGCGGCUUGUUAAGUCUUGCGUGAAAUCUCGGGGCUCAACCCCGAGCGGUCGUGAGAAACUGGCAGGCUAGAGUGCGGGAGAGGAGAGUGGAAUUCCACGUGUAGCAGUGAAAUGCGUAGAUAUGUGGAGGAACACCGAUGGCGAAGGCAGCCCCCUGGGUCAAGACUGACGCUCAUGCACGAAAGCGUGGGGAGCAAACAGG
rnacentral:rRNA from 1 species